AGAGCGAACGCUGGCGGCAGGCCUAACACAUGCAAGUCGAGCGCCCGUAGCAAUACGGGAGCGGCAGACGGGAUAGUAACACGUGGGAACGCGCCCUUCGGUUCGGAAUAACUCAGGGAAACUUGAGCUAAUACCGGAUACGCCCUUACGGGGAAAGAUUUAUUGCCGAAGGAACGGCCCGCGUCCGAUUAGCUAGUUGGUGAGGUAAUGGCUCACCAAGGCUACGAUCGGUAGCUGGUCUGAGAGGAUGACCAGCAUCACUGGGACUGAGACACGGCCCAGACUCCUACGGGAGGCAGCAGUGGGGAAUAUUGGACAAUGGGCGCAAGCCUGAUCCAGCCAUGCCGCGUGGAUGAUGAAGGCCUUAGGGUUGUAAAGUCCUUUUAACGGGGAAGAUAAUGACGGUACCCGUAGAAUAAGCCCGGCUAACUUCGCGCCAGCAGCCGC
rnacentral:rRNA from 1 species